GCCGUCCUUGCCGGAGCCGGCGAGCAGGGCCGGGUUGAUGCCGGUCUCGGCGGCGAGCUUGGCGACCGCCGGGCCGUUCGCACCGGCCGGGGCGGCG
rnacentral:tRNA from 1 species